rnacentral:rRNA from 1 species
UGAGCAAUCUGCCCUUCUCAUCGGAAUAAGCGUUGGAAACGAUGAUANCCGAAUA